rnacentral:misc_RNA from 1 species
GAUGAAGAACGUAGCGAAAUGCGAUAAGUAAUGUGAAUUGCAGAAUUCAGUGAAUCAUCGAGUUUUUGAACGCAUAUUGCGCCCUCUGGUAUUCCGGGGGGCAUGCCUGUUCGAGCGUCAUUAAAUAACCCUCAAGCAUAGCUUGGUGUUGGGCUUUUUUACGUCCUUGACUGGGAUGGGCCUAAAAAUUAGUGGCGAUGGCUUUUUUACUUUCAAGCGUAGUAAAUCUCGUCUUGCUAAAGAGGAAAAAGAUUUUUUUUCUGCCAAAAAUUUUAACAUUUGAAGUUGACCUCGGAUCAGGUAGGAUUACCCGCUGAACUUAAGCAUAUCAAUAAGCGGAGGA